GAGUCAUUGGGACUCUAACUAAACCUAAAGGCGCAAUGAAAGUGAAGGUCCGCCUCGCGCGGACCGAGGGAGGAUGGGCCGGCCCACGGGCCGACCCCGCACUCCCGGGGCGUCUCGUUCUCAUCGCGAGAAGAGGCGCACCCAGAGCGUACACGCUGGGACCCGAAAGAUGGUGAACUAUGCCUGGUCAGGACGAAGUCAGGGGAAACCCUGAUGGAGGUCCGUAGCGAUUCUGACGUGCAAAUCGAUCGUCGGAACUGGGUAUAGGGGCGAAAGACUAAUCGAACCAUCUAGUAGCUGGUUCCCUCCGAAGUUUCCCUCAGGAUAGCUGGCGCUCGCCGUUGCGAGUCUCAUUCGGUAAAGCGAAUGAUUAGAGGCAUUGGGGUCGAAACGGCCUCAACCUAUUCUCAAACUUUAAAUGGGUGAGAUCUCCGGCUUGCUUGAAAAGUGAAGCCGCGAGACUUAAAUCGGAUCAAUGAGUGCCAAGUGGGCCACUUUUGGUAAGCAGAACUGGCGCUGUGGGAUGAACCAAACGCCGAGUUAAAGCGCCUAAAUCGACGCUUAUGGGAUACCAUGAAAGGCGUUGGUAACUUAAGA
rnacentral:rRNA from 1 species